rnacentral:rRNA from 1 species
CUACGGGGCGCUCCAGUGAGGAAUUUUGCGCAAUGGGGGAAACCCUGACGCAGCAACGCCGCGUGAGCGAAGAAGGCCUUCGGGUCGUAAAGCUCUGUCAAGUGGGAAAAAAAUUCUUUGAUGAACAGUCAAAGGACUUGAUGGUACCACUGGAGGAAGCACCGGCUAACUCCGUGCCAGCAGCCGCGGUAAUACGGAGGGUGCAAGCGUUGUUCGGAAUUACUGGGCGUAAAGAGCGUGUAGGCGGUUUGACAAGUCAGAUGUGAAAGCCCCGGGCUCAACCCGGGAAGUGCAUUUGAAACUGUUUCACUAGAGUAUGGGAGAGGAGAUUGGAAUUCCUGGUGUAGAGGUGGAAUUCGUAGAUAUCAGGAGGAACACCCGUGGCGAAGGCGAUUCUCUGGACCAAUACUGACGCUGAGACGCGAAAGCGUGGGGAGAAAACAGGAUUAGAUACCCUAGUAGUC